UUCAAAGACCCUAAACCCUAACUCCUGCGACGACGAACCACUCCUGCGACGACGGCACUCCUGCGACGACGACACUCUGUGAAGAACCUAGCUGCGCUCGCGAUGCCUCCACCGGUUCUGGCACCCCUAACCCUCAUUCUGCGGUGACUCUCUAGCGGUGACUCGCUCCGCUCAGUUGUCGUCGCAAACCUGCCGUCGAUGAAGCCUUUGCCGCCGCUCCCUUCCGUUUCUGCAAACCCUUGACUCCUUCGGUGCCGCUCCCUUCCUGCUUAGCUUUGGAAGAAAGUAGACUCUCCACGCAUUUGAAAAGUCCUGUUCUUUGCUUUUUUUCCCUUUGGUGCACACAGAUGGGAUAACUACAUGAAAUCCCCAAAUGAGAUCAAGUUGGAGGAGGCUGCUGUUUUGCAUUACACAUGCUAAAUUCUCAUACCUCACUUCCAGACGUGAUCGCUGUGGUUGCAAACCUACCAAAGAAGAUGUAAAAAGAUGCUUCAUGUUGGAAUUUGACAGAUCUUAAGUGCAAUUACUCUCUGCUGCUACAAGGACAAUAACACAGCCAUGGCUGCUUCAGUUUCAACCAUAGGAGCUGUUAAAGGAACUCCAGUGAGUUUGAAUGGUUCUGGAGCUGUGGCUUCAUCAGUUCCCAAUUCAUCAGCUUUCUUCGGAAGCAGCUUGAAGAAGGUUACAUCAAGAAUCCACAGCAGUAGCAAGAUUUCCUCCGGAAGCUUCAAGAUUGUGGCGAUCGAUGAGGACAAGCAGACAGAUAAGAACAGAUGGAAAGGGUUGGCCUAUGAUAUCUCAGGUGACCAGCAAGACAUCACAAGAGGGAAGGGUAUUUUGUAGUUUUUAGAGGAUGUAGAUAAUGUAAUAGUUGUUGGAAUUGUAAUGCAUGUAAUACAAAUUCAUGGGUAGUUGAUAUCACUUUGAUUUUUUGUUAGAGCUUAUCAUGUGAUCAACUACUUUAUUUGGUGUACAAGU